ensembl:lncRNA
GCAGAUUUGGGGGUAGUUUUACUCAGGGACGGCAGGUUUAAGGGCAGUUUUACUUGUUGAGGGCAGGUUUUUUUUUUUUUUUUUACUUGGGGAGGGCAACUUUGGGAGUAGUUUUAAUGAGAGCAGGUUUGGGGCUGGUUUUACUUUGAGGGCAGAUUUGGGGGUAGUUUUACUCAGGGACGGCAGGUUUAAGGGCAGUUUUACUUGUUGAGGGCAGGUUUUGGGCUGUCUUUUACUUGGUGAGGAUAGAUUUGGGGCAGUUUUACUUGAUGAGGACAAGCUUUGGGCUAUUUUUUACUUGAUGGGGGUAGAUUUGGGGGCAGUUUUAUUCGUUGAGGGCAGGUUUAGGGGCAGUUUCACUUGUUGAGGGCAUUUUUUGGGCUUUUUUUACUUGGUGAGGGCAGGUUUGAGGCAGUUUUACUUGGUAAGGGUAGAUUUGGGGGCAGUUUUACCCAGGGAGAGCAGGUUUAAGGGUACUUUUACUUGAAAAGGGCAGGUUUGGGGGUAGUUUUUCUAGGUAAGUGUCAAUUAGGAGUGAAAUUUUGGCCCUUUUUUUUUUUUUUUUUAAUCCAGGGGAGGGCAGGUUUGAGGCAGUUUUACUUGGUAAGGGUAGAUUUGGGGGCAGUUUUACCCAGGGAGAGCAGGUUUAAGGGUACUUUUACUCGAAAAGGGCAGGUUUUGGGGUAGUUUUACUUGGUAAGGCUAGUUUAGGGGGCAGUUUUACCUGGGGAGGACAGGUUUUGGGCUGUUUUUUUUACCAGCUCCAUUAAGUUAUGUGAACUUGUU